rnacentral:pre_miRNA from 1 species
CAAGUACUUCCUUCGUUUGAAAUUACUUGUUACAAAAAUUGAUGUAUCUAUAACUAAAAUACAUCUAGAUACAUUUAUUUCUUGGACGAGUAAUUUCGAACGAAGGGAGUAGCAG